CAGUAGCCACGGUAAUACGUAGGGCGCAAGCGUUAUCCGGAAUUAUUGGGCGUAAAGAGCUCGUAGGCGGUUUGUCGCGUCUGCUGUGAAAUCCGGAGGCUCAACCUCCGGCCUGCAGUGGGUACGGGCAGACUAGAGUGCGGUAGGGGAGAUUGGAAUUCCUGGUGUAGCGGUGGAAUGCGCAGAUAUCAGGAGGAACACCGAUGGCGAAGGCAGAUCUCUGGGCCGUAACUGACGCUGAGGAGCGAAAGGGUGGGGAGCAAACAGGCUUAGAUACCCGCGUGUCCCUGUCUCUUAUACA
rnacentral:rRNA from 1 species